CUGGAGAUGAACGUGGAGUUACUGUUUCCAGUCACAUUUCCUGCCGGGAGAGGAAGGGAGAACACGGGGAGGAUGGACCUCAAACCCUUUUGCAACAGAUUAGUUGUUCACAUCAGAGAGUUCACAUCUGAUCUGCGAUGGUGACAUCAAUAGGUCACCGUGUUGGCAGCUGUAUAAUCAGAUUCAGGGCCAAUGAACCAUAUCUGCCUUUAUGAGAUUUAGCUGAAAGUGAUAUGCAAGGUGGUAAAUGGCAUUCUAACAAGAGUGUGAAGAAAGAGCGAGAAGGCUGUCCUCUGCUGGAGGGGAAGAAAGGAGAGGAGGUAAGUUUGGAUAGGAAAAUCUUUUUCUAUACUCUCAGAAUGGAAAUGGAUGGUCAACAGCAGUCAUUUCAGGAGAGAGUGGGACCAGGGAUGGAGAUGGAGGACAGGGGAGGAUGACGGGUCAGGUAGGUCUUCACUGUCCCGUGUUCCUGGCUCCCAGGUGAUGGCCUUGGAGAGUCUAUGCUGCUAGGAUGAACCAGGUCACCUGUGCUCUGUCAUUUCUGCCUCCUCUGCCCAGGACACUGGGUGAGCCCAGGGCAGUCAGUGCCAGCCCUUCCAUGCCCCUCCUUCUUCAGCUCCCUAGAGCAGACCAAAGAACUGGGAGGCUGAGAGUGACUUGGGGGAACAAACAAGAUACAGUGGUCUUGUGUUCAUCUAUUUAUUCCUCAAUGGAUGAAUGAAUGAAUGUAUAAGCAUCCAUUCACUUAACAUUUUGAGAUACUAGAAAGAUUAGGCUACGAGAAU